rnacentral:rRNA from 1 species
ACGGGUGAGUAAUGCUUAUCUUACCUACCGUUUAGUGGGGUAUAAAAUACCGCAUAUUCUGGUUUCGGCCAGGAAAGGAAAUCGCAAGGUUUUCGCUAAAUGACGGGGAUAAGUCGCAUCAGCGCGCUGGUAGGGUAAUGGCCUACCAAGGUAAUGGCAAUGACGCGUAGCCGGGCUGAGAGGCUGAUCGGCCACAAGGGAACUGAAACACGGUCCUUACUCCGGAAGGGGGCAGCAAUGGGGAAUCGUCGGCAAUGGGGGAAACCCUGACCGCGCAAUGCUACGUGAAGGAAGAAGGUCUACGGAUUGUAAACUUCUUUACUAGAGAGUACUUCCGCAAGGUUUGCUCUUUAGCAAAAAGUCACGACUAACUACGUGCCAGCAGUCGCGGUAAGACGUAGGUGGCGAACGUUAUCCGGAAUUAUUGGGCGUAAAGGGUGCGUAGGUGGCUUGACAAGUUAUCAGUGGCAAAUCGAGGCCCAACCUCGUGGAAACUGGUAAUACUGUCCGGCUUGAGUACAGGAGAGGUUAACGGAACUCUAUGUGGAGCGGUAAAAUGCACAGAUAUAUAGAAGAACAUCAAUAAAGGCGAAGGCAGUUAACUAUUCUGUUACUGACACUGAGGCACGAAAGCGUGGGGAGCAAAACGGAUUAGAUACCCGUGUAGUCCACGCCCUAAACGAUGAGUACUAGAUGUUGGGAACUUGAUUCUCAGUGUCGCUAGGUAACCCAGUAAGUACUCCGCCUGGGUAGUACGCUCGCAAGAGUGAAACUCAAAGGAAUUGACGGGGACUCGCACAAGCAGUGGAGCAUGUGGUUUAAUCCGAUACAACGCGUAGAACCUUACCAAGGCUUGACAUGUUGGGCAAAGCUAGGGAAACCUAGUGGAGGUUAUCCUAACACAGGUGCUGCAUGGCCGUCGUCAGUUCGUGCCGUGAGGUGUAUGGUUAAGUCCUAUAACGAACGCAACCCUUGGGCUUAGUUACCAGCAUUCAGUUGGGGACUCUAAGCCGACUGCCUGAGCAAUCAGGAGGAAGGAAAGGAUGACGUCUGGUCGUC